rnacentral:lncRNA from 1 species
CGUUACUUUGCUAAGCUCCAUUGUGUUGAGUUCAGGCGUUGUUGUUGUGGUGGUGUUGGUUGUUGAGUGCGCUAGAGGCAGAGUGAGGGAGUGAAAGGUUUGUUUGGCAAUGGGGUAAUUAUAAUGGUUCUACAUAGACGGUCCUUCUUCGUCCUUGUCGUUCAUCUUUUUCUUGCUCUUCUUUUUUUAUUAGUGCGUUUAUUUAUUGUGUUUUGUUUUUUAUGUGUAUAUUUAAUUGAUAGAUUAAUAAUUAUUUAUUUCACUCCACAUCCUCUAGUCACUACACUACACUACCCGUGUUGCCACUUACAUCAGUUCACUAUUGCUGCAGAGAGUGGUGGGAGUCUUACGUGUUAGACGUGUGUUUGCACGUGCAAGUGUGCGUGUUAUUUUGCGGCAAGCGCUGAACUCGCCAUAUCAGUCGCUUCUCUGCUACCUA